AAGGUAGCGAAAUUCCUUGUCGGGUAAGUUCCGACCUGCACGAAUGGCGUAACGAUGGCGGCGCUGUCUCCACCCGAGACUCAGUGAAAUUGAAAUCGCUGUGAAGAUGCAGUGUAUCCGCGGCUAGACGGAAAGACCCCGUGAACCUUUACUAUAGCUUUGCACUGGACUUUGAAUUUGCUUGUGUAGGAUAGGUGGGAGGCUUUGAAGCGUGGACGCCAGUUCGCGUGGAGCCAUCCUUGAAAUACCACCCUGGCAACUUUGAGGUUCUAACUCAGGUCCGUUAUCCGGAUCGAGGACAGUGUAUGGUGGGUAGUUUGACUGGGGCGGUCUCCUCCUAAAGAGUAACGGAGGAGUACGAAGGUGCGCUCAGACCGGUCGGAAAUCGGUCGUAGAGUAUAAAGGCAAAAGCGCGCUUGACUGCGAGACAGACACGUCGAGCAGGUACGAAAGUAGGUCUUAGUGAUCCGGUGGUUCUGUAUGGAAGGGCCAUCGCUCAACGGAUAAAAGGUACUCCGGGGAUAACAGGCUGAUACCGCCCAAGAGUUCAUAUCGACGGCGGUGUUUGGCACCUCGAUGUCGGCUCAUCACAUCCUGGGGCUGAAGCCGGUCCCAAGGGUAUGGCUGUUCGCCAUUUAAAGUGGUACGCGAGCUGGGUUCAGAACGUCGUGAGACAGUUCGGUCCCUAUCUGCCGUGGACGUUUGAGAUUUGAGAGGGGCUGCUCCUAGUACGAGAGGACCGGAGUGGACGAACCUCUGGUGUUCCGGUUGUCACGCCAGUGGCAUUGCCGGGUAGCUAUGUUCGGAAUAGAUAACCGCUGAAAGCAUCUAAGCGGGAAACUAGCCUCAAAACAAGGCUUCGCUGAGAUCCGUGAUAGACCAUCACGUUGAUAGGCCGGGUGUGGAAGUGCGGCGACGCAUGCAGCUUACCGGUACUAAUCGAUCGAUCGGCUUGAUCGU
rnacentral:rRNA from 1 species